rnacentral:lncRNA from 1 species
UUUUUUUUUUUUUCUCUUUUCCCUUCAAACAAUAUCUUCUGACUUCCAGAUUUCUGAUAAAUUGAUAAGAGGCAUCGCGUGAGUCAAUAGAGCUGUAGACACUUUGCCAAUAUAACCCCCGCUCUAUUGAUCUGCCAGUAAAUUAAAGUCUUACUUAGAGGCUGCCGAUAUUUCUAAUCUCCUGCCUCACCAAUUACAGCCUCCCAGCUACCUGGAAAGAGGACUUGAGCCUUCUAACCUUUUUGUGGUUGUUGCGGGUGGGCUGCUCUCCUUCCAUGGAACUGGGGGCACUUGCCUUGCUUAUCUGGUAGGUGAAGGGGCAGUGUGGAGGAAGAUGUCUCCAUGCUACGAGAGUCAUUAGUAAAAAUGUCUGGCACACCAGUUCCAUUGUGGUGGUCACGUACAUUUUAUAGCAAGUCUCCAGGCCACUCUUGCCCUUGGGUGGGCUCCAAGAUUGGGGGUAGAGAAAGUUGAGAGCAGCCGGUCUUGGGAGUUAUCCUAGCAUAUUUUAUGGCCGUCUUCCACUUUUAAAAAAUCUGUAAAUAGCCUUUCCUUUGCCCUGGGAGGAGAAUGGGGAUUUGGAUAAAUGUUGGAUUAUUAGUAUUUAUCACUUAUUAAAACAAAACAUGCCUAAGAGUUUAUGGAAAAGGAGAGGAUCAAAGAGGAGUCCCAAGAUACAUUAGGAAGGACUGAAGUGUGUUUACGUGCACGCUGCUUUUUUUUGGAGUUUGUUUUGUUGACAUUUUGCAUUCUCCUUAUUGGAGCAGAGAAAUGACAGAAAAGAACUCAUUUUAUUGUCCAUUGUAACUUUUGCCAAUGUCUCCCCUCUGCCACUUCCCAGGCCAGCCUCUCUGUCUUUGGCAUAGAGUUGAGUAAUGACAACAGCCACCUAAAAAUGUCCACGCAGGAACAGUGGGGCUGAUCGAGUUCCCUGCUGGGAUUCCUACUUGGGCAGUGGCCUUGUGAGCAAAUCGUUUGUCCGAUAAGCUCUUUUCAAGUCCCGUUUAUGUGGUUGGCUUUGGGAAGAAAUCUCCAGAUAAAUGCUGUUUUCUCUCUAAUACUCCAGAGCGAAAAAUCAAUGGGAGGGAUAAUUCCUUCCCUUGUCCAACACACACUUCUCGUGUGUUUCUACCUGUGGCGUUACUCACAAAAUUUUUUUAAAUAAAAUAUCCAGUCCUGAGGUUCCGGCUCUUCUCCAGUAUUGCAGGGAAGGGAGCGUUAGGAGGCGCUUGUGUGCCCUUUAGAAGGAACAGCAUGGACCCUGUGACCAAGGAGGGUUUCUCAUUUUCCUCUUUCUCACACUCCUUACCUCUCAAGGGGCCGGAGGUGAUGGCGAACCCGGGUCAGGAAAUGUGGGAAACACGCCAGUGUGGUUCACUGAUGCUAGCUGAAUUUGGGAGGUGAUAGAAAGGGCCUGAGGCUCCCAGGAGCAGGUGGAAACCGUGGAAAGGUCUCCUGUUCCUAGCAGAGGCUUUCAGAACUGCCCCCUGGGCAGCUGAGGUGGCCCCAUGUUGAGGUGGU